rnacentral:rRNA from 1 species
UGGGGAAUAUUGGACAAUGGGCGCAAGCCUGAUCCAGCCAUGCCGCGUGGAUGAUGACGGCCCUAGGGUUGUAAAGUCCUUUUAACGGGGAAGAUAAUGACGGUACCCGUAGAAUAAGCCCCGGCUAACUUCGUGCCAGCAGCCGCGGUAAUACGAAGGGGGCUAGCGUUGCUCGGAAUUACUGGGCGUAAAGCGCACGUAGGCGGUUUCUUAAGUCGGUGGUGAAAUCCUGGAGCUCAACUCCAGAACUGCCUUCGAUACUGGGAAACUUGAGUUCGGGAGAGGUGAGUGGAACUGCGAGUGUAGAGGUGAAAUUCGUAGAUAUUCGCAAGAACACCAGUGGCGAAGGCGGCUCACUGGCCCGAUACUGACGCUGAGGUGCGAAAGCGUGGGGAGCAAACA